AGCGAACGCUGGCGGCAGGCUUAACACAUGCCAGUCGAGCGGGCACUUCGGUGUCAGCGGCAGACGGGUGAGUAACACGUGGGAACGUACCCUUUGGUUCGGAAUAACGCUGGGAAACUAGCGCUAAUACCGGAUACGCCCUUUUGGGGAAAGGCUUGCUGCCGAAGGAUCGGCCCGCGUCUGAUUAGCUGGUUGGUGGGGUAAUGGCCUACCAAGGCGACGAUCAGUAGCUGGUCUGAGAGCAUGAUCAGCCACACUGGGACUGAGACACGGCCCAGACUCCUACGGGAGGCAGCAGUGGGGAAUAUUGGACAAUGGGCGCAAGCCUGAUCCAGCCAUGCCGCGUGAGUGAUGAAGGCCUUAGGGUUGUAAAGCUCUUUUGUCCGGGACGAUAAUGACGGUACCGGAAGAAUAAGCCCCGGCUAACUUCGUG
rnacentral:rRNA from 1 species